AACGAACGCUGGCGGCAGGCCUAACACAUGCAAGUCGAACGAUCCUUCGGGAUAGUGGCAGACGGGUGAGUAACGCGUGGGAACCUUCCCUGUGGUACGGAAUAGCUCCGGGAAACUGGAAUUAAUACCGUAUACGCCCCUCGGGGGAAAGAUUUAUCGCCAUAGGAUGGGCCCGCGUCGGAUUAGCUAGUUGGUGAGGUAAUGGCUCACCAAGGCGACGAUCCGUAGCUGGUCUUAGAGGAUGAUCAGCCACACUGGGACUGAGACACGGCCCAGACUCCUACGGGAGGCAGCAGUGGGGAAUAUUGGACAAUGGGCGCAAGCCUGAUCCAGCCAUGCCGCGUGAGUGACGAAGGCCUUAGGGUUGUAAAGCUCUUUUGGCGGGGAAGAUAAUGACGGUACCCGCAGAAUAAGCCCCGGCUAACUUCGUGCCAGCAGCCGCGGUAAUACGAAGGGGGCUAGCGUUGUUCGGAAUCACUGGGCGUAAAGCGCGCGUAGGCGGACUGGUCAGUUGGGGGUGAAAUCCCGGGGCUCAACCUCGGAACUGCCUUCAAUACUGCCAGUCUUGAGUCCGAGAGAGGUGAGUGGAAUUCCUAGUGUAGAGGUGAAAUUCGUAGAUAUUAGGAAGAACACCAGUGGCGAAGGCGGCUCACUGGCUCGGUACUGACGCUGAGGUGCGAAAGCGCGGGGAGCAAACAGGAUUAGAUACCCUGGUAGUCCACGCCGUAAACGAUGAAUGCUAGCCGUCGGGAAGCUUGCUUUUCGGUGGCGCAGCUAACGCAUUAGGCAUUCCGCCUGGGGAGUACGGCCGCAAGGUUA
rnacentral:rRNA from 1 species